rnacentral:rRNA from 1 species
CGACGAGUGGCGAACGGGUGAGUAAUGUAUCGGAACGUACCUUUCAGUGGGGGAUAACGUAGCGAAAGUUACGCUAAUACCGCAUAUUCUGUGAGCAGGAAAGCAGGGGAUCGCAAGACCUUGCGCUGAUUGAGCGGCCGAUAUCAGAUUAGCUAGUUGGUGAGGUAAAGGCUCACCAAGGCGACGAUCUGUAGCGGGUCUGAGAGGAUGAUCCGCCACACUGGAACUGAGACACGGUCCAGACUCCUACGGGAGGCAGCAGUGGGGAAUUUUGGACAAUGGGGGCAACCCUGAUCCAGCCAUGCCGCGUGAGUGAAGAAGGCCUUCGGGUUGUAAAGCUCUUUCGGCCGGGAAGAAAUCGCAUGGGUUAAUACCCUGUGCGGAUGACGGUACCGGCAUAAGAAGCACCGGCUAACUACGUGCCAGCAGCCGCGGUAAUACGUAGGGUGCGAGCGUUAAUCGGAAUUACUGGGCGUAAAGCGUGCGCAGGCGGUUU